rnacentral:rRNA from 1 species
AUUGAACGCUGGCGGCAGGCCUAACACAUGCAAGUCGAGCGGAUGACGGGGGCUUGCUCCUUGAUUCAGCGGCGGACGGGUGAGUAAUGCCUAGGAAUCUGCCUGGUAGUGGGGGACAACGUUUCGAAAGGAACGCUAAUACCGCAUACGUCCUACGAGAGAAAGCAGGGGACCUUCGGGCCUUGCGCUAUCAGAUGAGCCUAGGUCGGAUUAGCUAGUUGGUGAGGUAAUGGCUCACCAAGGCGACGAUCCGUAACUGGUCUGAGAGGAUGAUCAGUCACACUGGAACUGAGACACGGUCCAGACUCCUACGGGAGGCAGCAGUGGGGAAUAUUGGACAAUGGGCGAAAGCCUGAUCCAGCCAUGCCGCGUGUGUGAAGAAGGUCUUCGGAUUGUAAAGCACUUUAAGUUGGGAGGAAGGGCAGUAAGUUAAUACCUUGCCGUUUUGACGUUACCGACAGAAUAAGCACCGGCUAACUCUGUGCCAGCCGCCGCAGUAAUAC